GACAGAUUGGUAGUGGCACAAUUACUACGUAAAUUGCAUAGCAACGGAUCUGAAUCAUCAUCUGUAGAACAGUGGAUUAUCCCGGCACUGGCUAGAACAAUAUCUGAUUUCUUUGUUGAUAUUUCUGCCAGAUCAUUCUCUUCAAAAUAAUUUUCUAAGUUUUUAAUUUGGUAGUUACCGACAAAAUGCUGCAAAAGAUCCUCUUGCUUGCCUUCGUGGCUUAUCAGUCCUCCAUCAAAGAGAGCGACCGGAGGUGGCUUCUGAGAGAUUACAUUAGGUCAGUGGCGGAACCAGAGGGGGGCUAGGGGAUGCUAGAGCCCCCCCUGAACUUGAAAAAAUAGUGUAUAUUUUUUUUCCAGCCCCCCCUAAGUUAUUGAGAUGUCAAUAUAAUUUUUUUUAGCCCCCGUUGGAUUAUAGAUAUAGAGAGACUUGCUUUCCAAAUUUCAAGGUAUGAUAUUUUGAUCGAUUCUUGGAUAAAUUGUUAUUCUUUAAUCUUUUCGUAUCUGUUGUGAUUUUGUGUAAAAAGAUUGUUAAUUGAGGGUUCUGGAUUUCUCAAGAAUUAGAGUUUGAAUUUUGAACUAUUUUACAUUUGUUCUUUUGAAUUAUGAUGGUCACUUAGUUGUUUUCAAAAGACUUUGCACAUAAUUACAUUACUCUUCUUAUAUGUUAAAAUGUGCAUGGACCCUCUUCUAGCAGCUUGUAUAAUCUUAAGAAAUGCUCCUGCACUCUAGAUAAAAAGUAUCGAUUUGAAAUGUUCUCGAACAUGAUUCCACUUCGACCUGGAUCACCAGGGAUCACGUUCGAGUUCGCUGAUUUUGGUGAUCCACCUUUAACGUAAGCGAUAUUACAAAGGAAGAUAACUUGACACUAUCUUGAUUGAAAUUGUUUUUAGAAACGUACUUUAGUAAAAGAAAUAAGAAAAGAAAGGAGCUGAGAAGAUGAUACAGAUGAAAGAAAAGACACACGAGACAUGCCUUUUUACAAAAAAGAUUUAGAUUCCCUUAUAAAUAUGUAUUGAAGGUCCUUACCAUUUAUUAAGUAACCUUAAAAUUCAUUUUUUGAUUAACUUACUUCUCUAUUUUCGGGUAAAAUAAAUAUUUUAAUCAUGAAAUCAUAAGUAGACUAUAUAUUGUUAGUGAAAAAUCACUAAAAGAGAUCAAGAUAUCGAACCGCGAACCGGAUUCGCUGGUCAUCGUACCCGAUUCAUAACAACUGGCAUUUUACGUACCCGAUCGUCCGUACCUAGUACCCGAAUGACCCGUGAACAACACUGUUUGAGCCCCCCCUAAAUCUAAGUCCUGGUUCCGCCACUGCAUUAGGUUCAGGAAGGUUUUUGCUAAAAGAUGAUACACCAGGAUCCUUGCAGUCAGAGAAGUCAGCAGAAUGCACAGCAAGUGCUGUACCACAGGAUGUACGUUUUGGGAUGUGAUUACUACUCAGAGAAAUAUUACAAGCUGCAACUUCAGCAUGAGAUGCAGGAUGUUUGUCAGCUUCUAAUGAGAUUGAAUUAGCAGAGCACCCCAACAUGUCAUCCUGAGAAGAAAUUCUGCCACAGUAGUCUAUGUUAUGCAAUAUAGUAUCAUGCUCUGAUUUGUUACCAAGAGACAUGUUGUAGCUAUCACUCAAAGC
rnacentral:lncRNA from 1 species